rnacentral:tRNA from 1 species
GCGGCUGUAGCUCAGCUGGUAGAGCAUCACGUUGCCAAAGUGAAUGUCACGACUUAUGUUGAUGAGAGUAGUCUCGUUAGCCGCUCCA